rfam:Mycobacterium vanbaalenii PYR-1, complete genome.
UGAGCUGGCUGGGCGGCCGCGGCACCCCACAGUGUCGAGGAAAGUCCGGACUUCACAGAGCAGGGUGAUUGCUAACGGCAAUCCGAGGUGACUCGCGGGAAAGUGCCACAGAAAACAGACCGCCUCCACUGCGCCCCAAGCCUUCGGGCCCAAGGACGCUCCGGAGGUAAGGGUGAAAAGGUGCGGUAAGAGCGCACCAGCAUCCCGGGUGACCGGGGUGGCUUGGUAAACCCCACCCGAAGCAAGGCCAAGAAGGCCGCAACCUGGUUGCGGCCGCGCAGGCGUUCGAGGGUUGCUCGCCCGAGCCUGCGGGUAGGCCGCUCGAGGCACCCGGCGACGGUGUGUCCAGAUGGAUGGUCGCCGCCUCGCUGCCAGAGAUGGCCGUGAGGAACAGAAUCCGGCUUACAGGCCGGCUCAUCCG